UUUCCGUAGGUGAACCUGCGGAAGGAUCAUUAAUGAGAAUAUGCCCUUCGGGGUAGAUCUCCCACCCUUUGUUUAUAUUACCUUUGUUGCUUUGGCAGGCCCGUCUUCGGACCACCGGCUUCGGCUGGUCAGUGCUUGCCAGAGGACCCAAAACUCUUAUUAUUAAUGUCGUCUGAGUACUAUAUAAUAGUUAAAACUUUCAACAACGGAUCUCUUGGUUCUG
rnacentral:misc_RNA from 1 species